rnacentral:rRNA from 1 species
UACGGGGGGGGGCAAGCGUUGUUCGGAAUGACUGGGCGUAAAGGGCUCGUAGGCGGCCAACUAAGUCAAACGUGAAAUCCCUCGGCUUAACCGGGGAACUGCGCUUGAUACUGGAUGGCUUGAGAUUGGGAGAGGGAUGCGGAAUUCCAGGUGUAGCGGUGAAAUGCGUAGAUAUCUGGAGGAACACCGGUGGCGAAGGCGGCAUCCUGGACCAACACUGACGCUGAGUGAGCGAAAGCCAGGGGAGCAAACGGG